CUCGUAGGCGGUUCGCCGCGUCCGGUGUGAAAGUCCAUCGCUUAACGGUGGAUCCGCGCCGGGUACGGGCGGGCUUGAGUGCGGUAGGGGAGACUGGAAUUCCCGGUGUAACGGUGGAAUGUGUAGAUAUCGGGAAGAACACCAAUGGCGAAGGCAGGUCUCUGGGCCGUUACUGACGCUGAGGAGCGAAAGCGUGGGGAGCGAACA
rnacentral:rRNA from 1 species